UGGAAGAUCAUAUGGGGGUGCCCUGCUCCCCCUAAGGUGUCCCCUGGCAAGAGAGCUCUGGCGAGUUAUGGCCUUGGACUGGAACAUCCCCAAGGUGGAGGCCAUCGUCAACACUGGCCCAGAGUG